UACGUAGGGCGCAAGCGUUGUCCGGAAUUAUUGGGCGUAAAGAGCUCGUAGGCGGUUUGUCGCGUCUGUCGUGAAAGCUUGGGGCUUAACCCCAAGUCUGCGGUGGAUACGGGCAGACUAGAGGCAGGUAGGGGAGAACGGAAUUCCUGGUGUAGCGGUGAAAUGCGCAGAUAUCAGGAGGAACACCGGUGGCGAAGGCGGUUCUCUGGGCAUUACCUGACGCUGAGGAGCGAAAGUGUGGGGAGCGAACAGG
rnacentral:rRNA from 1 species